CUGGGAUGUGCUUUGGAUUGGGACCGGUUUUAUCCCUAGGUGUCGUGAGGCAGCUGCCUCAUGUAGAAGGAUUUGGGUGUCCUGUGAAAAUGCUGCUGCCUAUUUGCAAGGUUAAUGCGGUGGUUUUCUAUAAUAAGACGAUGUGAGAUUUCCAGCUUGGAGCAACAGAGUAAGCCCACUGAGAUGAAAAUUACAGAGAUAAAACGAAUGGAUGCUGCUUUGGGAACAGUUCGAUGCAGUUCAAAGGCUCUUUCCUGACAGACUUCUUCACCCACAACUGAACGUGGUUAACGGCCGCUCAACGAUAUUAUUAAACUGCCCUAAGAGGAGCUUGUUUUCAAGGCUCAGAGACCCUUUUGGGGCCAACGCACAAGGACGGCACACGCUUCCUCGGGAGGUGCAACAGGCAUCCGCCUGUUUAAUCAUCAGCCCUGCACACGCAGCAGGAUCCUAAGCCAUGCUGGAUCCCAUGAACAGAAGUGGGUAUAACUGAGAGGACCACUUCCCAAAAUGGGGCCAUUUUGUCCUGCACAGGUUUAAGGACUGCCUGUGUAGAGGACUUGGGAGAAGUUUUCACUUUGAAUUUGGAGUUUGUUUUUGUGGCUGCAGGGAAACCUUUUUUUUAACAACAACAAUUCUGUGUCAUGCUUAUCAGCUGCCAUUCUUUUAUCGUAAUUUGAAGCUUCUUGUUAUCAUUUUAAAAAGUGUGCCUAGACCAAAACAAAAAAACAAACCCAGACUCCAAACGGUGACUUGAACCAAUAAACACGACUGCUGUUUAAAGAAAAGUGGGAGACAAACAGAUUAAGGAAAACAUUUGAAAGUCAUGUGUACAAACUAGCAGCUUGGAGCUCAGAAUUGAAAGGGAGUCAGAUCUGCCAACCAAGGAAGGCAAGGGGCUGCGUACGACAGAAGGCUCUCUCUCUGGUUGCUGGAAACUGCUUCACCCUAACUAAGUCCUUCUUUAUUCACACAAACCCCCAAUUUUGGGCAAGGGGUGCAACAGCAGAACACUGCUCCCCAAAAUGGCCACACGGCAACCUUGUUGCUGCAAAGGAAGUUUUUGUGAUUCCUGUUGCGAUCAUCUUGUCAGCGACCUCUCGAAAGGGAAACGCCUCACCUGUGUGUGCCACGGCUACCCUACCCGGGAGACAAGCAGAAAAGGGGCAAAGCUACUUGCCAUCUGUUAGGGCAACCACAUUUCCAAACCCUGAAGAAAUCAACACGUGUCCAACACUUGAGAAAUAUGCGUUUUGGAAAACGCGUAUUUGCUUUAUAACUGACAGGAAGAAAGACAGUCGUGGGAGGAAAGGAAGGC